UGCCUGCGGGGCUGCAGCUGUUUCCCUUGCUGAGAGUUGCCAGGAGUAGGGCAGCAGCAGAGCACAGGAUGUGAACAUGACAAGCCCCAGCUGAGCCGGAUUGCCCUGAUCCCACCUGGUGUGGCGUGAAUUGGCUCUCACACUCCCACAUAUAGGGAGAGCUCCAGCUCAGCCACGCUCACCUGGGGGUGCUCAUUACCCCCCCCCAAAAAAAAAGAAAAAGGCCCUGUAUCAGCCUAGCCUUUCUCACUCUAGGCCAGGACCUGGCAGCUGUCUACAGUGAAGACUGAGAAGUCUGAGACAGCGGGACUCUACCAACAGCAUCUGUGUCCCCUGUGAGAAAUGCAGGUUCUUGAGCCCAAGGCAACAGCAGAGCAGUUCUGCUAAUGAAUGGCCUUUGUACCUGAGGCUCUGAGAUCCCAGGUUCCAGCCCCAUCAUCAUCCAGAGCUGGUCAGGACUCUGGAUAAAAGUAUGAAGGAACAGGGGUUCUCAGCCCUUCCACCCUUGAACCUUCCAGAUCAGAAGCUGUCGAUGAGACUGGGGCAUUUAUUUAUUACUUAUGUAUUUGUGGGUUUUUUAGACAUAAGCAGAGUAGCAGAGAAAAUGAGAGAGACCGCAGCCCCAGAGCUGCCUUCAAUGCAGCAGGGGCUCGGUUUGAAACUGGCUCAUGCACAUUGCAAUAUAAAUGCAUGGAGGAAGUGAACUAUUUCACUGCCUCCCUACCCAGGAUCCUCGUUUCUAGAAUUUGGACCUUUGUUCUCCUGGGAAGUUGCCCUUUUUGCAUAGACAGUGACAAGCAGUAGCCGUCCCCAAGGCUAGCUGGCCAGGGGUGUCACAUCCUUUUGAGUUCUGUGUCCUCGGUCCAUCUGACCAUUUUCUCCUCCUAGUGCACUCUUUACCUAAAAGUGACUUUUUUAUUAUUAAUAAUUAAGCUGUUAUAUUUUUUAGAUAUUUUUAAUUUUUAUUUAUUUAUUCCCUUUUGUUGCCCUUGUUGGUUUUUAUUGUUGUAGUUAUUGAUGUCAUUGUUGUUGGAUAGGACAGAGAGAAAUGGAGAAAAGAGGGGAAGACAGAGAGGGGGAGUGAAAGAUAGACACCUGCAGACCUGCUUCACCGCUUGUGAAGCGACCCCCCUGCAGAUGGAGAGCCAGGGACUCAAACCAGGAUCCUUAGCCGGUCCUUGCGCUUUGCGCCACCUGCACUUAACCCACUGCGUUACCGCCCGACUCCCUUAGAUCUUUAUUAAUGAGAGAGAAUCUGUCAUGUGCAAUACCGGGGAUCGAACUAGGGACCUCAUGGUUUAGAGUCCAGCACAUUACCUACUGCUCCUCCACCCAGGUUGCAAGAAGUAGUCUUAAAAACUGAAGAGUUUCUAGAUAUUACUAGGAAAAGAAAGAAAAAAAACUGAAGAGUUGGCAAAGCCCUCUCUCUCUCACUUUUUUUCAAAUUUUUUUAUUAUCUUUAUUUAUUGGAUAGAGACAGCCAGAAAUGGAGAGGGAAGGGGGUGAGAGAGACACACACAGACACACACCUGCAGCCCUGCUUCACCACUCGCAAAGCUUUCCCCCUCCAGGUGGGGACCAGGGUUUUGAACACAGAUCCUUGUACACUGUAACAUGUGCGCUCAGCCAGGUGUGCCACCAUCUGGCCCCAAGUGUACUAGUUGUUGUUGUUAUUAUUACCGGAUAGAGACAGAAAUUGAGAGGGGAGAGACAGAUAGACACCUGCAGCCCUGCUUCACCACUUGUGAAGCUUUCCUCCUGCAGGUGGAGACCAGGGUCUUGAACCUGGUUCCUUAAGCACUGCAAUGUGAGCGCUAACCAGGUGCGCCACCACCUGGCCCUCUCCCAUUUUCUACCACAACCCCAUCCUUUCAGAGAGCCACUUUCUCGCCCUGACCCGGUCGCUCCUAUUGGAGGGAAGCCAGUGCUGUGUGGUCAGGGAUCCUCGAGGGCCUUGAGCCCCAGUGUUCAGCUUGGGGGUGUCUGGCUCAGGAACCAGGAGAACCCCACCUCUCAGCAUGGAGGGACGACCGUUCUGGCACUAGCUGAUGCUGUAAAAGGGCUGGUGCUUACAGGCCACGUACCCACCCCUGCCCCCCACCUCUGGAGCCCCCAGCUGCUCUCCUGCCUCCAUAACACCCUGGGGAGACCUUGUGUGUCACUGCUGGAAGUGCCUCAGCGUGUGAAAACUGAGGACCCGCCAGAGCUCAGGCCUUUAAUCAUGUCGCCGCCCCCCUCCCCCCACCUGAGACUCUGGCCACUCACGUGGCAAUCUCGUGGGCCCUGUGGCGUUCCUUCCUCCAUCUCUCUCUCUCUCUCUUUCUUUUCUUCUUGCUUCUUUUUUAAAUAUAAGCAAAAAAGCAGGGAAAGAAUGAAAGAAACCAUAGCACCAAAAGUUCCUCCAGUGAGGUGGGGGACGGGCUCAAGCCUGGGUUGCAUACAUGGCAAAGCACUGUCCAGAGGGACUGCCUCAUUGCUAGGUGUUUCUGACUCCUCUUCUUCCUCUCUUUCUUCUUCUUCUUUUUUUAAAUGUUUUUUUAAUUUUUUUAUUAUCUUCAUUUAUUGGAUAGAGAUAGCCAUAAGUCAAGAGGGAAGGAGGUGAUAGGGAGAGAGACAGAGAGACACCAGCAGCCCUGCUUCACCACUCUCAAAGCUUUCUCCCUACAGGUGGGGACCAAGGGCUCGAACCCAGGUCCUUGCACAUUGUAACAUGUGCACUCAACCAGGUGUGCCACUGCCCAGCACCCCCCCUUUUUUAUUUAUUGAGUUGUCAAUAAAUAAAAGUCAUGAUGCAUUUCUGUAUAGAAAAAUAACGUCAGCAGGGGCAGGUUGUGUAAUGGUUAUGCAAAGAAAGUCUACUGCCAGGAGUCGGGCGGUAGCGAAGCGGGUUAAGCGCAGGUGGCGCAACAGAGGCUCCAAAGUCCCAGGUUCAGUCCCCUGCACCAUGGGGGGUGGGGGUGGCACACCAGGCUAAACACACAGUACAAAGCUGAAGGACCCACAUAAGGAUCCCGGUUCAAGCCCCCGGGUCCCCAUCUUCAGUGGGGUUGCUUUACUAGCAGUGAAGUGGGUUUGCAGGUGUCUUUCGCUCUCUCUGUUUCCCCUCCCGUCUCAAUUUCUCUCUGUCCUAUCUAAAAUAAUAAUAAUAAUAAUAAUAAGUUGGAAAGAUGGCCAUCAGGAGCAGUGGGUUUGUAGUGCAAGCAUUGAGCCCCAGCAAUAACCCUGGAUGAAAAAAAAAGAAAAGAAAAGAAAA